UUAAAUGAUAAUAAUAUCAUUUAAUAGAAUAUAAUACUAAUAUUUAAAUAUGAUAAAAAGGAUCUUUAAUAAGAUCCAAUCAAAGCAUGAAAAUGUAAGGUAGAAAUUAAGUGGAAUGAAACAUCUGAGUAACUUAAAAGUAACCAACAGGGGCUAUAUUAGUAUCGGUGAGAGAAAGUAUAGUAGUCUUAAAGUAAUAUCAAGAGGUAUGAAUAUAGUAGUGUCUACUACUAAGACAAUAAAUAAAUAUUAAGUAAAAAGUACCGUAAGGGAAAGUAUUGAAAUUGAAUGAUAAAGAGCAGUCAUAGUAUGGCGUACCUUUUGUAUAAUGGGCCAGUGAGUUAUUUAUAUUAGCGAAAUAUUAUAAAUUUUAAAGAAAUUGAGAAUUUAACAAUCUACAGUUAAUAUAAAUAGGCCCGAAAGCAAACGAUUUACACAUCUCUAAGUAUAUUUAUUUAUUUAUAUAUAAAUAUGACUGAAUAGGUGGAUGUUGCAAUAUCCUCUAAAGAGAGGUGUGUGGUGGUGACAGACAAAUCUGGUUUGCAGAUAGCUGGUUUUCUGCGAAAUAUAUUUUAGUAUAGCCUAUUUUAAAAGUAAAAACUGGUACAGCACUUAAAUUUAUAAUUUAGGGGAUUAGAAAUAAUUUUACUAAAAGAUUUAAACCUCGGAAACAGUAUUUUAUUUAAAAUGGAGUCAGACUUAUUGCGAUAAGGUAGUAGGUCUAAAUGGAAACAACCAAGAUUAUUAACCAAAUGUCCCAUAAUAUAUGUUAAGUGAACUUAAUCAUUUUUUUUUAUAAGACAAUCAGUCAGCGGGUUUGACAAUAAUCACCUGUUAAUGGACAUGUAACAAUGCACUGAUUUGAUAAUUUUAUUUGAGAUAAUAUACGGGUCUAAACAUAUUACAUUGGUAUAAUUUUAAAUAUUUAUACAUAUUUAAAAGGUAGCAGAAUAUAUGAUGAAAAUAAAAAUCAUAAAGAAUAUGCUGGCUUGAGUAACGAUAGAUAGUAUAAGACUAUCCCCCUAAAUCAUAAGGUUUAACUAUAAACGAACGGACCCUAAGAUGAAGCAGAAAUGUGAAAUUGAUGGGAGAAAGAACAAGAAAAGGAAAAGGAACCGUACUGUAGACCGACACAGGUAUGAUAAAGGGGAAUGAGAUAACUACUAUGAAUGAACUCGGCAAAUAAGUGUAAAGCUUUAAGUCGUGCGACUGUUUACCAAAAACAUAGCUUAUUGCAUAUUAGCAAUAAUAAGUAUAAUAAGUGAUAUCUGCCCGGUGUAUGCUGAAUAAUUAAUUUAUAUUAACGUAUAAUUAAGAAAAAGUAUGUAAACGGCGGUCUUAUUGUGAGGAUCCGAAGGUAGCGAAAUUCAUUGACGCAUAAUUGGUGUCCUGCAUGAAUGAAUACACGAUGCGACUACUGUAUCCAUAGUAGACUCAGUGAAAUAGUAUUCGCGGUGAAGAUACCGUGUAACCGUAGAUUGACAAAAAGACCCUAUGCAGCUUUACUAUCUCCCUAUUUUGUAUUCUUUCUUUAUUUUUUUCAGUUUAUUAGGUUUUUAUUAAUUAACUCAGUGAGAUACCUAUAUUAAUAAAGAAGAAUUCUUAUCAUUUUUAUUAUUAUCCUUAAUAAUAUUCUUUGAGACAUAAUAAGGUUGUUAGUUUCGAUGGGGCGUCGACAUCAGCGAAAGCAUCUGAUGUGUCUAUUAAUCUUUUAUUAUAUUAAUCUUUUUAAUUAAUAGUUAUACUCCGUACAAUAAUUCUCUAUCUAGCAAAUAGAAACUAUUUAAUGUUAUGUAAGGAUAACAACAUAAUUGUGCGUUGAUAAUAACACUAACAAGUGGAAUUAGUACUUACGUAGAGUGUAGUGAACAGGCAUAUUCAAUAGAUAAGGAUGUCGAUAACGGAUUAAAGUUACGCUAGGGAUUAACUGUUAGUCCCAUAACUUGGUGACAAGUUAUAUAAAU
rfam:Pichia farinosa complete mitochondrial genome, strain CBS7064